CCUACGGGAGGCAGCAGUGCGGAAUAUUGGUCAAUGGACGGAAGUCUGACCCAGCCAUGCCGCGUGCAGGAAGACGGCUCUAUGAGUUGUAAACUGCUUUUGUACAAGGGUAAACCUGAAUACGUGUAUUCAGCUGAAAGUACUUUACGAAUAAGGAUCGGCUAACUCCGUGCCAGCAGCCGCGGUAAUACGGAGGAUCCAAGCGUUAUCCGGAUUUAUUGGGUGUAACGGGUCCGUAGGCGGAUUGAUAAGUUAGAGGUGAAAUGUCCGGGCUUAACUCGGGAACUGCCUCUAAUACUGUUGAUCUAGAGAGUAGAUGCGGUAGGCGGAAUGUAUGGUGUAGCGGUGAAAUGCGUAGAGAUCAUACAGAACACCGAUUGCGAAGGCAGCUGACCAAUCUAUAUCUGACGUUGAGGCACGAAAGCGUGGGGAGCAAACAGGAUUAGAUACCCGGGUAGUC
rnacentral:rRNA from 1 species